rnacentral:rRNA from 1 species
UUCUUCGGAAAAAGUAGAGCGGCGAACGGGUGAGUAACGCGUGAGGAUCUACCUCUCAGUGAAGGAUACCCUUGGGAAACUAAGGUUAAUACUGCAUACGUCCACUUGANNNNNNGGAGAAAGAUGGCCUCUUGCUGUCGCUGAAAGAUGAACUUGCGUUCUAUUAGCUAGUUGGUGGGGUAAAGGCUCACCAAGGCGAUGAUGGAUAGCCGGCCUGAGAGGGUGGACGGCCACAUUGGAACUGAGAAACGGUCCAGACUCCUACGGGAGGCAGCAGUGAGGAAUAUUGCACAAUGGGCGAAAGCCUGAUGCAGCGACACCGCGUGAAGGAUGAAGGUCUUAGGAUUGUAAACUUCUGUUAAGUGGGAAAAAAGAACUAUCUCGAAUAAAGAUAGGUGAUGAUGGUACCACUAGAGAAAGCACCGGCUAACUUCGUGCCAGCAGCCGCGGUAAUACGAGGGGUGCAAACGUUAUUCGGAAUUACUGGGUGUAAAGGGUAUGUAGACGGCAUUUUAAGUCAAUUGUUAAAUUCCCCAGCUUAACUGGGGGCAAGCGGUUGAAACUAAAAAGCUAGAGGGUGAGAGAGAGAAGUGGAAUUCUCGGAGUAGCGGUAAAAUGCGUAGAUCUCGAGAGGAACACCGAUGGCGAAGGCAGCUUCUUGGCUCACUCCCGACGUUGAGAUACGAAAGCGUGGGGAGCAAACAGGAUUAGAUACCCUGGUAGUCCACGCUGUAAACGAUGAUCACUAGAUGUUAGGCUUGCUUGCAGGCUUAGUAUCGCAGCUAACGCGAUAAGUGAUCCACCUGGGGACUACGGUCGCAAGAUUAAAACUCAAAGGAAUUGACGGGGGUC